rnacentral:lncRNA from 1 species
CAGUGGGCUUUUACCUUAAGCAGCAGGUGGACAGUGGGGCUGGGGACAGCUGCGGGGAUCCAGAGUUCUGGGAGGUGUGGCGGACCAGCUGGGCCCAGGACUGGGGUUGGAGGUGAAAGUCAGGAAACGUCAGCUCAUCGACGGCAUUUCAAGCCGUGGAAUUUGAGUACUAUUGAGCUGGCCAUGCCACUGAUGGAAUCGUUUCUUGCUGCUGCAAAAUUGAGGACCACAUGCUACAGGUCAGGCCUUCUGCCCCCUAUCCGCUGUGAGGUGCUUGAAGGACUGGUUUGGAAACAGACCCCUAUUUCAGAAGCAGAGUUGAGGCUUAGCAAGGGAGAAUGACUGGCCCAAAGUCACUCGGCUGCAGUGACAUCAUUAGCAAGCCAGAAUGCGCAGGGCACACAGCUGGAGGACCAGGCAAGCUGAGGCAGGGGCCAGGUGGGCAGUUGGAAAUACGUCACUAGCCCGGGGCCAACCCCCAUCAGCGGCCAAUGGCCUCUAGAAGAUGGCUGGGCCUCACACGCCUUGGAAACCAGAGCAAGAGGCCAUCAGGGUGGAGAAGGCGGCCCAUCACCUCCUGUCCAAGUGCCUCAUUUUACAGGCCCAGGAGCUGGCACCUCAGCAACUGCUGCAUUUUCAGGAAUUUUGCAAACUGGCUUCAAAAACACAGCCAUGAUUAGACGUCAAAGUAUUUAAACUUACAAUUCAGGGCCAGGCGUGGUGGCUCAUGCCUGUAAUCCCAGCACUUUGGGAGGCUGAGGCAGGUGGAUCACUUGAGGUCAGGAGUUCGAGAUCAGCCUGGCCAACAUGAUGAAACCCCGUCUCUACUAAAAAUACAAAAAAAAAAAAAAAAAAAAAAAAAC